GAGUAUAUAGCUCAGUUGGUUAGAGCAUCUGAUUGUGGUUCAGAGGGUCGCGGGUUCGAAUCCCGUUAUACUCC
rnacentral:tRNA from 1 species